UGUAAAAUUUCAAAGGUCGAACAGACCUAAAAUUUUAGCUCCUACACCAAAAUUUAAUUUUAAUCCAACAUCGAGGUCGCAAACUUUUUUAUCGAUAAGAACUCUCCAAAAAAAAUUACGCUGUUAUCCCUAAGGUAAUUUAAUCUUGUAAUCCAAAAAAAAGGAUCAAAUACUCAUAAAUCAAUGUUACAAACAAAAAAAAGUUCCCCAAAUUUUUCCAUCGCCCCAACAAAAUAAUUAAAUAAAAAUAAAAAAAUAAAUCCAACAACUUCUAUAUCUAAUUAAUUAUAAAACUCUAUAGGGUCUUCUCGUCUUUAUAAAAAAUUUAAGCUUUUUCACUUAAAAUUGAAAUUCUAAAACACUUAUAUAGAGACAGUUAUUUUCUCAUCAAACCUUUCAUUCCAGCUUUCAAUCAAAAAACUAAUGAUUAUGCUACCUUUGCACAGUCAAGAUACUGCGGCCAUUCAAAAAUCAUUGGGCAGGCCAGACUUUAAAUCAAAAUCAAAAAGAC
rnacentral:rRNA from 1 species